GGGGAGCAGCCCAGAGUCUUAAUCAGCAUCAGCAUCAGGAGAACGGUCUGGAAAGGCCGGCAAUAAAGGGUGAUAGCCCCGUAUCCGAAGGUGUUGGUGUUGUGAACUCGAUGAGUAGGGCGGGACACGUGUUAUCCUGUCUGAAUAUGGGGGGACCAUCCUCCAAGGCUAAAUACUCCUGAUUGACCGAUAGUGAACCAGUACCGUGAGGGAAAGGCGAAAA
rnacentral:rRNA from 1 species